rnacentral:rRNA from 1 species
CUAUGGGGGGGGCCUAAACAUGCAAGUCGAGCGAUGGAUUGAGAGCUUGCUCUCAAGAAGUUAGCGGCGGACGGGAGAGUAACACGUGGGUAACCUGCCCAUAAGACUGGGAUAACUCCGGGAAACCGGGGCUAAUACCGGAUAACAUUUUGAACUGCAUGGUUCGAAAUUGAAAGGCGGCUUCGGCUGUCACUUAUGGAUGGACCCGCGUCGCAUUAGCUAGUUGGUGAGGUAACGGCUCACCAAGGCAACGAUGCGUAGCCGACCUGAGAGGGUGAUCGGCCACACUGGGACUGAGACACGGCCCAGACUCCUACGGGAGGCAGCAGUAGGGAAUCUUCCGCAAUGGACGAAAGUCUGACGGAGCAACGCCGCGUGAGUGAUGAAGGCUUUCGGGUCGUAAAACUCUGUUGUUAGGGAAGAACAAGUGCUAGUUGAAUAAGCUGGCACCUUGACGGUACCUAACCAGAAAGCCACGGCUAACUACGUGCCAGCAGCCGCGGUAAUACGUAGGUGGCAAGCGUUAUCCGGAAUUAUUGGGCGUAAAGCGCGCGCAGGUGGUUUCUUAAGUCUGAUGUGAAAGCCCACGGCUCAACCGUGGAGGGUCAUUGGAAACUGGGAGACUUGAGUGCAUAAGAGGAAAGUGGAAUUCCAUGUGUAGCGGUGAAAUGCGUACAGAUAUGGAGGAACACCAGUGGCGAAGGCGACUUUCUGGUCUGUAACUGACACUGAGGCGCGAAAGCGUGGGGAGCAAACAGGAUUAGAUACCCUGGUAGUCCACGCCGUAAACGAUGAGUGCUAAGUGUUAGAGGGUUUCCGCCCUUUAGUGCUGAACGUCAACGCAUUAAGCACUCCGCCUGGGGAGUACGGCCGCAAGGCUGAACUCAAGGAAUUGACGGGGGCCCGCACAAGCGGUGGAGCAUGUGGUUUAAUUCGAAGCCACCGCGAAAACCUUACCAGGUACUUGACAUCCUCUGAAAACCCUAGAGAUAGGGCUUCCUCCUUUCGGGAGCAGAGUGGAAGGUGGUGCAUGGUUGGUCGACAGCUCGUGUCGUGAGAUGUUGGGCUCAGUCCCGCCACUAACCCUAUCCCUUUGAUCUUAGUUGCCAUCAUUUAGUUUGGGGACCUCCUAAAGCUGGAACUGCCGGGUGAGCAUGCGGAGGAGCGUGGGAUUGACUUUCAGUUCAGUCCAUGCCCUUUAUGACUUGGGCCUACCACUCUGUGCUGACAUUGGACCGUGUACACAAAGGCAGCGUUUGACUCAGUAACAGCG